ensembl:snRNA U6 U6 spliceosomal RNA
GCUCGCUUUGGCAGCACAUACUAAAUUUGGAACGAUACAGAGAAGAUUAGCAUGGGCCCUACGCAACAAUGAUAUGCAAACUCAUGAACUGUUCCAUAUGUUA